rnacentral:rRNA from 1 species
AGAGUUUGAUCAUGGCUCAGAUUGAACGCUGGCGGCAGGCCUAACACAUGCAAGUCGAACGGUAACAGGAAACAGCUUGCUGUUUCGCUGACGAGUGGCGGACGGGUGAGUAAUGUCUGGGAAACUGCCUGAUGGAGGGGGAUAACUACUGGAAACGGUAGCUAAUACCGCAUAACGUCGCAAGACCAAAGAGGGGGACCUUCGGGCCUCUUGCCAUCAGAUGUGCCCAGAUGGGAUUAGCUAGUAGGUGGGGUAACGGCUCACCUAGGCGACGAUCCCUAGCUGGUCUGAGAGGAUGACCAGCCACACUGGAACUGAGACACGGUCCAGACUCCUACGGGAGGCAGCAGUGGGGAAUAUUGCACAAUGGGCGCAAGCCUGAUGCAGCCAUGCCGCGUGUAUGAAGAAGGCCUUCGGGUUGUAAAGUACUUUCAGCGGGGAGGAAGGGAGUAAAGUUAAUACCUUUGCUCAUUGACGUUACCCGCAGAAGAAGCACCGGCUAACUCCGUGCCAGCAGCCGCGGUAAUACGGAGGGUGCAAGCGUUAAUCGGAAUUACUGGGCGUAAAGCGCACGCAGGCGGUUUGUUAAGUCAGAUGUGAAAUCCCCGGGCUCAACCUGGGAACUGCAUCUGAUGCUGGCAAGCUUGAGUCUCGUAGAGGGGGGUAGAAUUCCAGGUGUAGCGGUGAAAUGCGUAGAGAUCUGGAGGAAUACCGGUGGCGAAGGCGGCCCCCUGGACGAAGACUGACGCUCAGGUGCGAAAGCGUGGGGAGCAAACAGGAUUAGAUACCCUGGUAGUCCACGCCGUAAACGAUGUCGACUUGGAGGUUGUGCCCUUGAGGCGUGGCUUCCGGAGCUAACGCGUUAAGUCGACCGCCAGGGGAGUACGGCCGCAAGGUUAAAACUCGAAUGAAUUGACGGGGGCCCGCACAAGCGGUGGAGCAUGUGGUUUAAUUCGAUGCAACGCGAAGAACCUUACCUGGUCUUGACAUCCACGGAAGUUUUCAGAGAUGAGAAUGUGCCUUCGGGAACCGUGAGACAGGUGCUGCAUGGCUGUCGUCAGCUCGUGUUGUGAAAUGUUGGGUUAAGUCCCGCAACGAGCGCAACCCUUAUCCUUUGUUGCCAGCGGUCCGGCCGGGAACUCAAAGGAGACUGCCAGUGAUAAACUGGAGGAAGGUGGGGAUGACGUCAAGUCAUCAUGGCCCUUACGACCAGGGCUACACACGUGCUACAAUGGCGCAUACAAAGAGAAGCGACCUCGCGAGAGCAAGCGGACCUCAUAAAGUGCGUCGUAGUCCGGAUUGGAGUCUGCAACUCGACUCCAUGAAGUCGGAAUCGCUAGUAAUCGUGGAUCAGAAUGCCACGGUGAAUACGUUCCCGGGCCUUGUACACACCGCCCGUCACACCAUGGGAGUGGGUUGCAAAAGAAGUAGGUAGCUUAACCUUCGGGAGGGCGCUUACCACUUUGUGAUUCAUGACUGGGGUGAAGUCGUAACAAGGUAACCGUAGGGGAACCUGCGGUUG